UUGUUAACUCUCAUUAGAAACCCCCUUUGGACUAUGACUUAAAAUCAAGGAGUUAUAGGGACUGUUUACCCAGCACAUGUUUCGAAGUUUCUGUCUAUAGGGGAUUGGUUCCAAGCUGCGCAAUUUAUAGAGGAGCUUCAACGCGCCGAACCUUCUCAACCUCCCGUCUGAACCACCCUCAUCUCAGUCACGCUUAAAGCGUCGUAAAUUACGAUGUCAGAUCGGUUACCCGAGGUUUUCGUCGCUGUACACUUAGUCUGCGACGUCGGCAACUGAAUCCCCCCACCUAGCACAAAGUUCACCUGAUACCUCUCCGUUCCCUCUAAUGAGGAGGGGACUUGCAGGCUUUUGGCCUGACCGUGACCUUCCACAAAUCCCCAGUCUGAGAAUCGAGACAUGGUCAUUGCCUACGACUCUUAGAGUUCAAGUUGAUAUAAUGAAAAAAAAAAAAGAGUACUUGAAUACUCUAAUAAAGAAAUCCUGCUCAUACUCCUUUGAAAGGAGAUCUAAUCAAAAUGGAGCGAAUAUUUUUCUAACAAUAGAGAUGUAUAGUCCUGUGAGGCUAUCGUUCCUAACAAAUACAGAAAUCAAAAUUAAAAUUGAAUCUAUUGGUUCUCUAACCCUAUGCUAAAGUAAUUUUGGUCUAACAGUAUAAUUGUUUCUAACCUUCUCAUCAUUUAUUCCACUUCACAUUCAUACAUAAAAAAAUUUCAGUCAUUGUGGGCAUUCAUUCUAAAGUUAAAAGCUGCUAUAGACGCCAAAACACCCAAUUAUGUCUAUCAAAUAAACCCUAACAAUAAUAAAGUCUUUCAGGACCGGUGAGAAAUCAAAUAAAGUUAUCUAAUUAAAACAAAGUGGGGACUAAAGCCCUAUUGACUUAAAUAAAUGCCUCAUACAAACUCUAUAUAAAUUAUCUACUCAUAGAUAAACUUUCUUUAUACUUAAACAAAUUAGUAAAAAUGAUUGUUAACAACCAAAUGCUGAAAUCUAACCUAACACUUUAAAUGUGUGUCUAACAGUUUGAAAAUCUUCUUAUCUUGACACUUGGUGUCUAGACAAACGAAUAAUCAAAACUAGCACUUAAAUGGAGCGAACUGAACUUCAAGCAUUUACCUCAUUGCCGAAUAUGAUAGGUCUACAAGUGUUUUGCCAACGCUUCUUCUUUCUCUGCUAUUCAGCUAAACUCUUUCUUUGGACUUAUAGGGCUUUUGGUACCCAGCUCGUUCUGGAGUUUAACAACAGAGGUUACUUGUUGCUCUAUCAUAUCAAUUCUUAGAUUGUAACUGCAUUACAUACUCUCAUUAGAAACCCCUUUUAGACUAUGACUUAAAAUCAAGGAGUUAUAGGGACUGUUUACCCAGCACAUGUUUCAAGUCUGUCCACAGAGAAUUGGUUACAAGCACAGCAGAUAUCUAAAGCAUCUAAGUUUCCUAAUUAAUCUUGAAGUUGAACCACUGUUCAUAAUCUUCAAUAAAAAAAAACUGAAAACUCCGUACAAUGAACAUUUAACACAAACAUGAGGUUGUAGAAAAAAAAAAAAAAAAAAAAACGGAAACUCUCCAAAACCACAGACUACGGUCUUUAACUCGCGUUCUAACACAUUUUACUAUGAUCAAAAUUCAACUAGCUCUAGUACACAUUCUAUAGGUUUAAAUCAUUGGCAACCCGGACAUGAUCUGCACUCGGUGGGCUUCUUCACCCUGGUCGAACGGCGUAUUUCAGUGCCGUCAACAUUGCCACCAAUUGUCCUAUUCACUGUCUCUAGCGGGUUCCCUAAGAUUACUGUCUCUCGUGGUCCUUCUGGUUCUACAAUUCUAUGGGAAUAUAUAGGAUACGUUGGAUGUACUCAGUGAUCCUCAUCAUCAAUGACACCAUCUAUUUGUUCUUGUACGUCUUCGUCCCCCAUAGGGUAAGUCUUUAUCGGGGCAUGAUAGGCCUUCAUUCUGUCUAUGUGGAUCUUAUCUAAGUUCCCUGUCUCCAAAUCUUUCAAAAGGUAAACCGUGUCACCUGUCCUUUGUAGUACCUCAUAUGGUCCCCUGUACCUUGGCUCAAAUUUAUGACGAUCUUUCGUCUCAUGCAUUCUUUUUACCAAAGCUAGAUCCCCUGUCUCAAAGGUCCUUAACUCUCUAGCUUCAAACUCAGCCCUGGCUUCUUGUUGCCCCUUCAAGUAAGUUUGCCUCACCACCUCUCUCGCUUUUUCAACCUCCUUCACCAAUUCCCGCUCAUAGAAGGCCGCCAUUUCAGUCAUUGAAUCUUCGCAUAUAGGAUUAAGCUCCUCUUCCUGGAAAGGUUGUGGAAGCCUCAGCUCAUGUCCGAAGACCAGUUUCGCUGGAGUAAAUCCAGGACUAGAGUGUACAGUGGUCCUGAUAGCUAAGGCUACCAUUGGCAAGGUGGUAUCCCAAUUGUUCCCCGCUGUACACCUGCGUAGAGAUUCUAUUACCGUCCUAUUGAGCCUUUCUACGGCGCCAUUACUCUGAGGUCUCCGGGCUGUGGUAUUUACUGCUCCAAACCCCAUGGCCUUGCAAACUCCCUUGAAUACGCAACUCAUGAAUGCCGAACCUCGGUCAGAGAGUAUCGUUUUUGGUACUCCAAAGGUAGUGAUUAUCCUUUCCAACAAGGCCCUAACCACUGUAUUGGCACACUGGUCCUUAGUAGGAAUCAGAAUUGGGAACUUAGUAAAUAGAUCCACAAUGGUCAGAAUACUCGAAUAACCUCUUGGGGUUACUUCUAAUGGUCCUAUGAAGUCUAGAGCUAGGUGUUCAAAGGGUUUUUCGGGCCUAAAGUGAGGAGCAUUAGCGGCUUUGGUUACGCCUUGAUUCGAUAGCUGACAGCUCCCGCAUCUGCGUAUAUAUUUCCGGACUUGAGUCCUCAUACCAGGCCAGUAAUAGUCGCCCUUCAGCCUUCUCAUAACCUUUCUAACUCCGAAAUGACCUCCAGUAGGGAUGUCAUGAUGAUAGCUGAUCACUGUUUCCCUAAAACCUGUAGGAACCACCUUCACCCAGGUACCCUUCUCAUUCUUUGUAACGAGGUAAUUGUCUUGUAGCCUAUACUCUCGGCUAUUAUAUCUUUCUAUACCUCCCGAUUUUUGUUUCAAUAACCUAUUUAUUACUGGGGCCCAUCCUUUCUCUUGAAGCAAGCCUUCCCAUAUCUGAUUACUAUCUAAUAAGGGGGGCCGACGGUCUCUUACCACCGCGGCCACCACCCUCCUAUCUUGUGAUAGGUUUGGAUCAUCCUCGCACGGGAACCUACUAAGAAAGUCGGCUACCGUGUUUUCCUUCCCCGGGACAUAAAUGAAUGUAACGUUGAAGUCUUGGAUGAUCUCUGUCCACCUAGACAGUCGGGCGUUCUUAUAAUCAGACCCCUUAUUAUAAGUAAUCGGUUUAUGGUCAGUGUGUACUUCUACCCUACUGCCCGCCAGGAGGUGUUUAAAGUGUUGUAGGGACAACACUACUGCAUAGGCCUCCUUUUCUAUUGUAGAAUAGCGGAUCUCAGGACCAGUCAGUCUCUUGCUAUAAUAAGCAUUUGGCCUCACUGUCCCAUUGACCUCCUGUUGGAGGCAAGCGCCUACCGCUAUCCCACUGGCGUCAGUGUUCAGGAUGAAAGGUAUCCCAACUGUUGGGUGGAUUAGUAGUGGCUCGCUGGUUAAUAUUCCCUUCACCGUCUCAAAGGCUGACUGCUCUAUCGUACCCCAAGCAAAUCUAUGUCCCUUCCUUAAUAGGUUGCUCAGUGGAGCCAGGACCUCACCUGCGUUGGGAAUAAAGCGUCGGUAGUAGUUACCUGUACCCAAUAGACUUCUGACUGCCUUGAUGUUAUGAGGUCUUUUCAAAUCCCUGAGAGCGGCGACAUUAUCCCACAUGGGUUUGAACCCAUUUUGGUCGAUUACAUGACCCAGGUACUCUACUGAGUCCCUGAAGAGAUAGCUCUUCCCGUAUUUGGCCUUCAAGCCGAACUUAUUCAGACGUUCGAGUACAGCGGCGAGGUCCGCUACAUGCUGCUCGUGAGAGCCGCUGUAGACAAUGACGUCAUCGAUGUACAGGCGAACGCAUUUAAACAACAAGUCACCUAGGACCAAGUUCAUGGCCCACUGGAAGACUUGUGCUGAGUUUUUUUGCUCCUUGUGGCAAACGCGUGAAGCGGUAUCUCCCCCAGGGCAGAGAGAAGGUAAAAUAAUCUCUGUCACUCUCCGGGAUGUGAAUCUGGAAGAAUCCAGAAGUCAGAUCUAAUGUGCUGAAGACCUUUGCACCCGCAAAUGCGCGCAGAUUGUCUUCAACACGGGGUAUCGGGAACGGGAAGAAUUCAGUUGCCUCAUUGAUCAUACGUAGAUCCAUGGUGAUGCGAACACUACCAUCAGUUUUGGCAACCGGGAAUAGAGGGGAAUUCCAUAGAGAGGUACUCCCUUCUAUUAUCCCUACUUCUUCCAGUUCGUCUACUAACGUUUUCACCUUUGAGACUAACCUAUUCGGGAUCGGAUAUUGCCUCCUAUAUACUGGUUUGCUAGUCAGCAUUCUCAGUUUAGGGGCUGUGAUGGUGGAACCAUUCCCCAUAUCCCUUAUGUCCCUACAAAAACAAUGGCUGAAAGCCUUGAAAAUAUCUUCGCCUGUGGGAUUUCGUUUAAGGGUAUCCUGGGUGGCUGAGGAGACAAUUCUAUCGUCUGUAAUGAGGAAAGAAAGGCCGACUUGGUCGGAUCUUCCUUCCUUUCGUAAUCGGAUCUAAUACUACCGUCGUAGCUGAGGUGCAGCUUUAGGGCUCGGAAACCCGGUAAUCCGAGUAUGCCAUCAAGACCUAUUUCUCCCAUGUGGCAAUACUCAAAAGUCGUCCUUACCUCCCUAAUGGGCUUACCGUUUACCAUUGCCCCUACCUCUAAUACUUCACUCCCUAAUGACUUUAAAGAUUUUCCUGUUAUACCCUUAAGGUAAGUUGGUCUGUUUAGCCCCUCAGUGCAUAAAUUUAAAUUAUCUAUAUUUACAAUAUUGGCCUCUGAGCCCGAGUCUAUGAUAAAUUUUAGAGUUCUCUCACUCAGAGACCUCCCUUUAUUUAAUAUAUGUACAUUUAUGGCAGGCAAACUGGCCGCAAAUCCCCCUCCUGCCUUGAGGCAAGCCGGACCUAGUUUUUUCUCUGUGUCUGCUGGCAAUCCCUGAUGAGGUAUCCUGGCUCACCGCACCUGUAACAUUUGGGUGGUGGCCUCCUUACAUCCUGUUUCUUAUAUUCCCCUCCAGGGUUCUCCUCCCUUUCACCGUUAGGAUGUCUCCUUUCUUGUCUGGGUGGAGGCGGGUUCUGCUGUUGCCUGGAUGGUUGUUGUGUAGGUCUCCUUUGCCAGUCCCUGAAGGGAGCUCCCCUCCUGUUAUCCUCGGUGUUAUCUCCGUAAUCCCUUCUUCCUGCGGGGUGUGAUGGCCACCUUCCUCCUCCGUUAUUUGCUCUAUUGGUACUCCCUCUUUGUCUCCUAAGGGCUGCAUUCUCGAUUUCUAGUGCCUCCAUCUUCUUCUCCAGCUCGGCCAAUUUGUUACCCAUGUCACCCUGCCUCUGGCCGUUCCUGUCGACGCUGGAGCGUUGCGCCUCCCUGUAGUCCUCCUGUCUUUGUUCCAGCCACUGUAGCUUGGUAACUAGGGUCUCCCAGGGUUCGCCUUGGUAUAGAUGAGCCUUUUCCCACAGGCUGGGACAGAGCCCGUCGAUGAAAACCUCUGCGACCUCUGAGAUGCCUAUCUUCAGGCCAUCCGACUCUGCUCCCGCUGCAAGGUCACUCACUCGCGCGGCGAAGUCCCGUACUUUCUCUCCGGCUCUCUGUCUACAUGAGAAGAACUGACUCCUCAUUUCCCUUGUAGAGACCCUCUUUCGGAACCGCCCUUCUAGACUCUCCUUCAACUCUUCGUAUCCGAGGCGGAUUUGUUGGGACUGUAGGGCAAACUCCCUCGCAGCCCCCCGGAGGUGGUUGUCCAAGAGGAUCCUUUUCCUGGCGUCGUCCAGGGCCCUUAGAUCGUAGACGAGCUCAAAAUCCUUUAUGAAUUUUGUGAAGGGGACUAUACCCUUCCCUUCAAACUUCUCCAGGUUUUACAGCAUGGAGGGCAGCUGGGCCUGGACAGCUGUGGCAUUCUCUUUAUCAGCAGGCAUGGUCCUCAGUUGUUGGAUCUACAGGAGCUAGGUAUUAGUCUUUCAUCCUGGUUGCAACGGUAGUAUCAGGACCCAUAGAGGCGGGCGAAGUAGGGAAUACAAAACAGAAGGAAGGGAAGAAGUCUUUCUUAAUCAUGUUCUUAAAAUAAUGUGAAGUUCGCGUUUCGAAAAAAAAAUAUAUGGAAAAUCCAAACAUAGAAAACCAUAUGUGGAGGUAAAAAAUUAUUCCAAUCUUCAACAGCCAAAAAAUAUAUAUAUAUUUUCAAAUUCAAGGUAUUCUACUCAUAAACGAGAUCCCGUGCCAAGAGCUACCCCCCACAGGCAAUCAUAUGGAAGGAGCCUUCAAAAAUUUAAUACGCCAAAACCAAUAACAUAACUCAAUGCAGGCAACCUGCACCUACUGAGGUGUCAAAUCUAAUAAAAAUAAUUAAAGGUGAUCGAGAUAUACAUAUAUAUAUACAUAUAUAUUUUAAAUAUAUAUUUAAUCCUAUAUAUUUGCGUGAUUUCAUUAAUUGAUAUAAUUAAAAAAAAUGUUGUACAUCGCGCCUCUGCUGUUAUCACACUGUUGAGUAAAUAAAUUCCAUAUAUGGAGAAAUCCUAGUGACCCUAAUAGACCACCAUAGCUCGCUUAGCUCACCGCUAGAUAGUGUCGUGUGGAUGUGCACGCAAACAUCGCGUCCCUGCUAUCAUCACACUGUUGAGUAAAUAAAUUCCAUAUAUGGAGAAAUCCUAGUGACCCUAAUAGACCACCAUAGCUCGCUUAGCUCACCGCUAGAUAGUGUCGUGUGGAUGUGCACGCAAACAUCGCGUCCCUGCUAUCAUCACACUGUUGAGUAAAUAAAUUCCAUAUAUGGAGAAAUCCUAGUGACCCUAAUAGACCACCAUAGCUCGCUUAGCUCACCGCUAGAUAGUGUCGUGUGGAUGUGCACGCAAACAUCGCGUCCCUGCUAUCAUCACACUGUUGAGUAAAUAAAUUCCAUAUAUGGAGAAAUCCUAGUGACCCUAAUAGACCACCAUAGCUCGCUUAGCUCACCGCUAGAUAGUGUCGUGUGGAUGUGCACGCAAACAUCGCGUCCCUGCUAUCAUCACACUGUUGAGUAAACAAAUUCCACAUAUGGAGAAAUCCUAAUGACCCUAAUAGACCACCAUAGCUCGCUUAGCUCACCGCUGGAUAGUGUCGUGUGGAUGUGCACGCAAACAUCGCGUCCCUGCUAUCAUCACACUGUUGAGUAAACAAAUUCCACAUAUGGAGAAAUCCUAGUGACCCUAAUAGACCACCAUAGCUCGUUUAGCUCACCGCUGGAUAGUGUCGUGUGGAUGUGCACGCAAACAUCGCGUCUCUGCUAUCAUCACACUGUUGAGUAAAUAAUUCCAUAUAUGGAGAAAUCCUAGUGACCCUAAUAGACCACCAUAGCUCGCUUAGCUCACCGCUAGACAGUGUCGAGUGUGUGGAUGCAAACAUCGCGUCUCUGCCAUUAUCACACUGUCGAGUAAAUAAAGAUUCUAUAACAAACCCGAGUCAAGAGCUAGCCCCCCCCCCCCCGUAGGCAAUCGUAUGGAAGGAAACUUCAAAAGUUUAAUAUACCAAAACUAAUAACUAUGACAAAGAUGUCUCCAACUCAAUGCAGGCAACCUACACCUAAUGAGGUGUCAAAUCUAAUAAAAAUAAUUAAAGGGUGAUCGAGACUGUCAACAAAUAUGUUGAUAUUAUUAAUUCAUGAUUAAUGGCGUAUUUCUUAAAUUAUUUUUAAUAUAUUUAAAAUAUAAUUAUAUAUUUAUUUAAUCUUAUAUAAAAUAUUCCAUGAUAUUUAAUUUAAAACGCAGAUUACUUAGAUUAUCAUCAUUUGUAUUUGGGUACACAUAUGACUUCACUGCUCUCUUUGGUCUGGGGAAAUAAAUUAAGUAUUCUGGUGGCUACUUAAAGAAGACUUAUCUCAUUAUUCCCUUUUAUAAAUUUGUAGGAUGGUUGAAACACGCUUUGGUAAGAUGCAAGACUCAGCACCGGAGAGAAUCCAGGCUGAAGAGCCUGCCAAGCCAUAUCCUGAUGCAACAACAUAAAGAGGCCUUCAGCCCAAUCCGGGGGGGGGGGGGGCAAUCAAGAUAAUAACAUCUAAGUACUUUGAGCUCAUAAUCUAACACCACCAUGCUGGCGCAGGUGAAAACGGUGAUCUGUUAGGGUGAUAUAGAUUGUCCUCCCUCUUCCCUGCUACAAAAUUCUAUCACCUUCUCAACUCUCCUUCAUCGCCUCUUAGCACAUCAUAACGCCCUUUUCAUCAUAUUUCAUCGCCUUUUCAUCAUAUUUCAUCGCCUUUUCAUCCCUCUGAGUCUCCCAGAAACCCGUCAUCGGGAAUUGGAUCCCGAUCUAUUAUCAUUCUUCCUUUUGAACUACUCUAGUGGCUAUCCCUCCCCUGCCAGCUCUAUAUGAAAGUCUGACACUCGUUCAGGGCGGGAGCUAUCGCAGAAUUUCGAGGAAAAUUCCAGAGAACCCGUUUCCACCCCUUUAAUCUCCCCUUCGAGGAGAUAAGCUCUUUCUGGGUGCAUUGAAACCAACUAGCCAUGAUGGCCCACUGGUAGAGGCGCUGUUCUCACUGCCUCUACUGUAUAUCAGAAUGAACUAUCAAUUAUUACUAGUGUAAUAGUAUUCCAACAGUCUAUCUUUUUAAUCCUUUAUGUACACUGGAUUAGGUAUUUACCUUGCUAACAACAAAGAAAAACCACAACACUUUGGACCAGUUAAAACGUAAUAAAGUUAAAUAAGCAGUUUGCUUCAGCUAAAUAGAAAGGGCAGCCUUGUCAUGGGAAUUGGGGAUAUAUGCAUGUACAAAGUCAGUUGCCUUACAACUCUGUCAAAGUGGGUUACACCUAAUUGUUAACAUUAAACAAUUCUGAUUGUCUACACC